ACCAAAGCUUACGGAAGAAGUAAUACAUACCACAUUCUAGCAAACAACUGCCAUAUGUUUGUUAAUCGACUGGCAAAGUACCUGAACACUAACUGCGGACGUUGAUAAUUGAUUAAUCAAAAUCUCUGAAGUGGCUUAAAGGACAUUAAUUUUUGGAACCGACAGUUUUAAUUUGAUUAAUAGUUUUUGAUUUUUAGAUAAACAUACCUUGAGAAAGUUUUGAUUUUACGGUGUCAAGUUUUUCUUGAUAAUGUACGGAAUUAAUGCAAAUGUUACAUGUAGUAUGAAAAAUAUAUAAUCUCAGCAAAUUGUGAUUUUGAAUAAUGUAUAUCAAGUUGGUGUCCUUAGGCUGGAAUUAGUAGAUUACGGCAGAGUUUUAAUAUUUUACAGAAAAUAAGUUUUAUUUUUCAAGUUGUUCGAGUUGUGCGGUAUUUCGGAACUAAGUCUAGUACCUUUGAUACAAACAGGCGGUGUGCGACACGAGCGCGCAGAGCAUGCUGGUUGAAAAUUAAAUUUCGCUCAUAUUACACUCGACUUUCGAGGUGUGUCUUUUAAUACUGUAUUAACUAAAGCGAUGGGAAUCAUUUUCUGGACAUACCAAAAUUUUUCGGAACCUAACAAAAAUUUUCGAAACAUCACAAAAUUGACCACAAAAUUGACAGAAUUUGUCCCAUUUAUUUUUAUAAUAAACCAAAAUUGCCCGACUAUUCAGCGAAUAUUGCCCGACUACAUGAGAAUAACGUCACUUCAGUUGUUGUUAUGGUUGGUAGAAUGUUAGAAGAGAAAGUAGUAAACGAAAAUCGGGCAAGGUACGACCUCCAAGCGUUUGAGAGUUGUUCGUCUAGCUUGUUAUAGAAAUUUUCAAUUUGAAAUCUGUUCCCUUGAAAUAUAUAGGGCACGAGACGAAAACCUUCGCACUGGUUUACAAUUAUGGAAUGAAAAUCGACGGGACGAAGCUGCACGUUUUCUCAAGCAGGGGGCAAAUGUAUCGACCAAAAUGGCUCUUGAAUUGAUCAAGGUAAACUGGGAAUAUAAAAAGUUUAUGAAGAUUUCUAGUAGGUCUUUAACUCCAAAUCGUUUAAAUUAUUGGAACACGUCAUUUUAAAUAGCUUUUUUUUCCAAGAAGGGACAAUAUAAAUAACCUUUCUGGUAUAGGAGGCCUACCUCGGGUCCAAAAGUUACCUUAAGUCGCCUUAAACCGCCCAAAGUCGCAUUAAGUUGCACUACAUCGCCUUGUACUCUUUGUGUUCUCGAUAAAUCGCAUCCGUCAAAAUGUGUGUAUUUAUUUUAAUAUUAAAUGGUGUUUCGUUUAGUACGAAAGUAGCGAACGACUUUUGAGCGAUGAGAAACGAGAUCACGAAGUUCACGUAAGCGACUUUUGGUUGAUGAAAAAUAUAAGGAUAUUUUUGGACGCCAUGUUUGAUCGAGUGUUUAUAUAACUUUUAGAAAGUGAUUUAAGAGGCGAUAUUCAAGAAUUUGUAGCCGUUAAAUUGCGAGGAGACCACCGGGUAAUUUAUUGCAUGUGAAUUUACGUUUAUCUGCAUUAUUUUUGUAUUUUACAUGUCUUUUUUAUUGUAAAAGUAUGUGUAAUUUUGUAUUGUUUAGAUUUCGAAACUAUUAAAUGUACGUUGACAUUCGUCGUUGUUUGUUUCUGAAAUGGCGGUUGAAAACGAAGAAAGCGGCUAACAAAACA
rnacentral:lncRNA from 1 species